rnacentral:rRNA from 1 species
UACGUAGGGGGCAAGCGUUGUCCGGAAUCAUUGGGCGUAAAGAGCGCGUAGGCGGUCCGGUAAGUCCGCUCUGAAAGUCCGGGGCUCAACCCCGGGAGGCGGGCGGAUACUGUCGGGCUAGAGUCCGGAAGAGGCGAGCGGAAUUCCUGGUGUAGCGGUGAAAUGCGCAGAUAUCAGGAGGAACACCGAUGGCGAAGGCAGCUCGCUGGGACGGUACUGACGCUGAGGCGCGAAAGCGUGGGGAGCAAACAGG